rnacentral:rRNA from 1 species
GAUGAACGCUGGCGGCGUGCCUAAUACAUGCAAGUCGAGCGAACGGACGAGAAGCUUGCUUCUCUGAUGUUAGCGGCGGACGGGUGAGUAACACGUGGAUAACCUAUCUAUAAGACUGGGAUAACUUCGGGAAACCGGAGCUAAUACCGGAUAAUAUUUUGAACCGCAUGGUUCAAAAGUGAAGGACGGUCUUGCUGUCACUUAUAGAUGGAUCCGCGCUGCAUUAGCUAGUUGGUAAGGUAACGGCUUACCAAGGCAACGAUGCAUAGCCGACCUGAGAGGGUGAUCGGCCACACUGGAACUGAGACACGGUCCAGACUCCUACGGGAGGCAGCAGUAGGGAAUCUUCCGCAAUGGGCGAAAGCCUGACGGAGCAACGCCGCGUGAGUGAUGAAGGUCUUCGGAUCGUAAAACUCUGUUAUUAGGGAAGAACAUAUGUGUAAGUAACUGUGCACAUCUUGACGGUACCUAAUCAGAAAGCCACGGCUAACUACGUG